UACGAAGGGGGCUAGCGUUGUUCGGAUUACUGGGCGUAAAGCGCACGUAGGCGGAUUGUUAAGUCAGGGGUGAAAUCCUGGAGCUCAACUCCAGAACUGCCUUGAUACUGGCAAUCUUGAGUCCGGAAGAGGUGAGUGGAACUCCUAGUGUAGAGGUGGAAUUCGUAGAUAUUCGGAGGAACACCAGUGGCGAAGGCGGCUCACUGGUCCGGUACUGACGCUGAGGUGCGAAAGCGUGGGGAGCAAACAGGG
rnacentral:rRNA from 1 species